AACCACAGCACAUUGAAACACCAGUUCCCAUAUGAUCACCAAAGUUAAGCAAUGUCAAGCCUGAUCAAUACCUAGAUGGGUGACCAUUUGGGGAGACCAGGUGCUGUAAG